rnacentral:rRNA from 1 species
GAGUUUGAUCAUGGCUCAGAUUGAACGCUGGCGGCAUGCCUUACACAUGCAAGUCGAACGGCAGCACGGGAGCUUGCUCCCGGUGGCGAGUGGCGAACGGGUGAGUAAUGCAUCGGAACGUAUCCUGGAGUGGGGGAUAACGUAGCGAAAGUUACGCUAAUACCGCAUAUUCUGUGAGCAGGAAAGCGGGGGACCUUCGGGCCUCGCGCUCUUGGAGCGGCCGAUGUCGGAUUAGCUAGUUGGUGAGGUAAAGGCUCACCAAGGCGACGAUCCGUAGCAGGUCUGAGAGGAUGAUCUGCCACACUGGAACUGAGACACGGUCCAGACUCCUACGGGAGGCAGCAGUGGGGAAUUUUGGACAAUGGGGGCAACCCUGAUCCAGCCAUGCCGCGUGAGUGAAGAAGGCC